AUGCAGCUGACGAGUCUCAAAUAGGACGAAAUGUGCGUCCUGGAU
rnacentral:hammerhead_ribozyme from 1 species